rnacentral:rRNA from 1 species
CCUACGGGAGGCAGCAGUGAGGAAUAUUGGUCAAUGGCCGCAGGGCUGAACCAGCCAAGUCGCGUGAGGGAUGACGGUCCUAUGGAUUGUAAACCUCUUUUGUCAGGGAGCAAAGGGCGCCACGUGUGGCGCUUUGCGAGUACCUGAAGAAAAAGCAUCGGCAAACUCCGUGCCAGCAGCCGCGGUAAUACGGAGGAUGCGAGCGUUAUCCGGAUUUAUUGGGUUUAAGGGGUGCGCAGGCGGAAUGUCAAGUCAGCGGUAAAAUUUCGGGGCUCAACCCCGUCGUGCCGUUGAAACUGGCGUUCUUGAGUGAGCGAGAGGUAUGCGGAAUGCGUGGUGUAGCGGUGAAAUGCGUAGAUAUCACGAAGAACUCCGAUGGCGAAGGCAGCAUACCGGCGCUCAACUGACGCUCAUGCACGAAAGCGUGGGUAUCGAACAGGAUUAGAUACCCUGGUAGUC